rnacentral:rRNA from 1 species
GACGUAGGGCGCGAGCGUUGUCCGGAUUUAUUGGGCGUAAAGAGCUCGUAGGCGGCUUGUCGCGUCGUCCGUGAAAACCUGCGGCUCAACUGCAGGCUGGCGGUCGAUACGGGCAGGCUAGAGUUCGGUAGGGGAGACUGGAAUUCCUGGUGUAGCGGUGAAAUGCGCAGAUAUCAGGAGGAACACCGGUGGCGAAGGCGGGUCUCUGGGCCGAUACUGACGCUGAGGAGCGAAAGCGUGGGGAGCGAACAGG